rnacentral:rRNA from 1 species
CCUACGGGAGGCAGCAGUGGGGAAUAUUGCACAAUGGGGGAAACCCUGAUGCAGCAACGCCGCGUGAAGGAAGACGGUUUUCGGAUUGUUAACUUCCGUUUAUAGUGAAGUAGAAUGACGGUCGCUAAGGAGCAAGCCACGGCUAACUACGUGCCAGCAGCCGCGGUAAUACGUAGGUGGCAAGCGUUAUCCGGAUUUACUGGGUGUAAAGGGAGCGUUGACGGUGCGCCAAGUCUGGAGUGAAAUGCCGCAGCUUAACUGCGGAACUGCCGUGGAAACUGGCGAACUAGAGGGCGGGAGGGGUAAGCGGAAUUCCGAGUGUAGCGGUGAAAUGCGUAGAUAUUAGGAGGAACACCGGUGGCGAAGGCGGCUGACUGGACCGUAACUGACGUUGAGGCUCGAAAGCGUGGGGAGCAAACAGGAUUAGAUACCCUAGUAGUC